AAGGAAAGUGUAUACCUUAUCUCUGCAGUGUGGCAUCUCUGUGAUAUGCCAGUAUAUUUGGCAACAUGCAAGCAGUUUCUGACUCCUGAGAGCAUGAGUCCAAUGCAAAUUGUAAACACCAGCCCCAUCUCUAUAAUUCUCAUAGACUACAGAUAAAACAGAAGUGCAGUUUGCUGUGCCUGCUGGGUAAAUGCAGGGCAGUGAACCACAACAUGUUUGCUGUCUGCUCCAACUGGGAAGAGGAUAUCAGUAAACUGUCUGAGACUUGGGGAAAAGAAGGACCAACUGUUUGUUAGUGGAAGUGAUAUGCCCUGCAAAUAAAAGGAGCUGAUUGAUUCCUUUUGGAUGAGAUUUGGACAUUGAUUGAAAGUGCAGAAGAAGAGUAACAUCACCUUGGGUUUACUUCUGAGGAAUGCACUAAAUAGAUACUCCACGCUUUAACCCCAGUGACUCCAACCAAAAGUUGAUGUACAGAUCUACAAAGAACAGCCUGGAAAAGAAUAGCACAGGGGAACACAGGCUUUUCUUCCUCAGGCCCAUCCUGAAGGCUGUAAUGCCUGGCUUUUUCCAUCCUUGCUGAUAAUAUGGUGAUACCAUGAGUGUGAAUUUUAGAUCAGCAGAUAUAAUUAAUGAUGGACUGAAAAUCAGCAUCUACAUAUCAAGACCCAGGAGCAAUACAUUAUGCAUCCAGUUUUCACCAAGCAAUGUUGAAAUAAUGCCUAAGACUGUUGGAGAGAAUGGACGCAGUAUUGUGUGACUGUCUCAAGUCUGUGGAAUUAACCCCUACUCAGACUGGAGAAGGAAUACAUUUCCUGGAUUCUUGAUCUCUCUUUAAGCCUCUGUGCCAGGGUGCCUUGCUAUUAUGCUUUUAAAGGACAGAGAUAUCGAGGUCCAAAACAAACACUAUUGUUGUUCAAUAUCCUUAAAGAAAAGACAAAGAAAAUCAGCACUUCAGUAAUAUCAGCUUUUGGUCAACAGGAAACAUGCACCCAGAUUAAGCUGUAUUAUGCCAGCUCACCUGCUCUUCUGGAGCAUUAAGUCUUCAACUUUGUUAUUCCAACACAUGGCAUAGAAGAGAGAGCAGAUGAGAAAGGAUGAGAGGUGAAACAAGUGCAGACAAGAGAGAAGUGGAGGUAGAAGUCAAAACCAGGAGGAGAAUGGGGAAGACAAGAAACCUCACAUCCUGGAGAUGACCUGGCACUAGAACAUCUAUGCACCUGAUCUAAACAUGCCUAAUCUUAGCCUAAUUGCAGCCAAAAAAGAAGAGACAGAUAUUUUGAAGUGGAAUACCACUACCCCCAGCAAACACAUGCAGGAGUACUGAGAUGUCUAAAAUAAGUAUCAAAUAAUUGAGAAAAAGACCUGGUGAUAAUCUGAUGUCAGAAGAGAUGGAAUGAGAAACUUCAGUCCAUGGAGUGAGUAGGAAUUUCCACUGCUGGUAAAAUAAGAGUGUUGUUUCUGUAACACUUACCAAUAUCCCUGAAGUGAACAUUAUUCUCCACUUACCCAUGGUAAAGAAAACAUGUUUUGUUUUGUUGUUAUUGUUCCAUUUAAAUUGGAAUACAGGACAUUAACAGAGUGGUAUUUUAUGUUUAUCCAAAAAGAAACCAAAACAAACAAACAGCAGUCAAAAAUAUCCAAAUUUUAUUUAAAUAUUCAAUUCCUUUGUCUCAUGCAUGGCGUGAAUUUCAAAAGAAGUUUAUCAGUUGAAGAAAUUUCCUUUGUAGAUCCUCAGUAAAUUAUAACAGGCCUUAACUGUGUACCAGCAUUUUAAAUCCCACUAAGCUUCAUUCAUUCAUUCAUAAAGUUAGAUGUCUGCACAUAUGUAUAAAUAUACAGGGAUUCACAGAACUAUUUUCACUCCUACAAACAGUAAGUUACAUAGGAGGUAAUUUUUGCUCUACUCUUAAAAACAUUUGUUUCAAAAGAAAAAGCAACAUAUUCACAAAACAAUAUGUUUAAUCUGUAACUUCAAAGUUGGUAGUUUCUUAAUAAAAAGAUCCUCUGGGUUUAAGGAAAAAUUUUCACUUUAACCUUGUCCCAUCAGAUAUCCCAGACCUGUAGGAAAGCCUGUUGGAACCUGUUGCUCAGGAGCCAGCUGACGGAGGAAGGGAUGCCAGCCAUCUUUAAGUCAAAAGUCAAAGGAAAGGCAAAGUAUGAAGUUCUUGUGCCCGUGCCUGGAAAGACCUGUCUGUAUUUUUCCACUGUUUGGUGUUAGCUGAGAUUAAAAACUAAUGAGAAAAUUAUUUACAGCAGGAGCAUCAUCACCAUGGUAAUCUGAUACAGAACUUUUCACUUUGAAUUUGCUGAGUGAAACUGAAACUGGGGAAGUACCAUCUGCCUGCCCUGUCGGCUUCUAUAGGUGGGAUGUGCCCGGCUGGGUGAGCCCUCGCAGCCCCAAGUGCCACCCCACAAAGCACCUCAUGACUGCUGAGGAGAGACACUGUGAGAUCACCAGGGUGUGCAAUAGACAUGUCUCUCUCUUAUCUGCAGGAGCUUUGAGGUUUUCACCAAGGAUUUCAUGUGGUGUCUUUUGCUAACUGUGGAGUCCCAAAGAGCCCCACAUACUCUGUGUCUCCCUUGGGAAGCAUGACUUCCACUGCAUGCCAAAGACUGCUACGUGCUCUCGUCCUGUUCCUCUGCCUUGUGAAUUGGAAAUAGGAGGAACGACUCCUUCCCUAUGUUGUACCAUCAAUACAAUAAAGCAUUGACCUUGGUCCUCGGUCCUGGCACUGAGUAGUUACCUACCUGCUGUUGGAGCACAGGGUGGAACGGGCUGCAGGCGACGGAGCCGCCUCGACUUACUUGCUGUGUGGGGAUAUCCUCCGGCUGUGAGCAGGAGCAUCUCAGGAGAGCCCGUG